rnacentral:rRNA from 1 species
AUGAACGCUGGCGGCGUGCCUAAUACAUGCAAGUCGAGCGAACGGACGAGAAGCUUGCUUCUCUGAUGUUAGCGGCGGACGGGUGAGUAACACGUGGAUAACCUACCUAUAAGACUGGGGUAACUUCGGGAAACCGUAGCUAAUACCGGAUAAUAUUUUGAACCGCAUGGUUCAAAAGUGAAAGACGGUCUUGCUGUCACUUAUAGAUGGAUCCGCGCUGCAUUAGCUAGUUGGUAAGGUAACGGCUUACCAAGGCAACGAUGCAUAGCCGACCUGAGAGGGUGAUCGGCCACACUGGAACUGAGACACGGUCCAGACUCCUACGGGAGGCAGCAGUAGGGAAUCUUCCGCAAUGGGCGAAAGCCUGACGGAGCAACGCCGCGUGAGUGAUGAAGGUCUUCGGAUCGUAAAACUCUGUUAUUAGGGAAGAACAUAUGUGUAAGUAACUGUGCACAUCUUGACGGUACCUAAUCAGAAAGCCACGGCUAACUACGUG